rnacentral:lncRNA from 1 species
ACCGGGACGUAGCUCAGUGAUAGAGCACUUACCUAGCAUACGUGAGGCCCUGUUCCGUCCCCAGCACCACACACACACAAAAAGAAUAUAUAUUAUUUUUAACUUAAAAAAUACAUCCACCAGCACCCGUCCCCAAAAUACAGCCACCACUUGUUGUGGUUUGGAUGCGAGGUGUCCCCCAAAAGCUCAUAUGUGAGACAGUGCAAGAAGGUUCAGAGGAGAAACGGUUGGGUUGUGAGAGUCUUAACCCAAGCAGUGAUUGAACCCCCUGGCAGGGAUUAACUGAGGGGUACGUGAAGUGAGGAGUGGCUGGAGAAGGUGAGGAUUGGGGUAUGGCUGGAGGACGAGGAGAAUUGGGGCGAGGCUGGAGGAGGGGGCAUUGGGGCAUGAAUUGGGGUAUAUAUUUGUAUCUGGCGAGUGGCAUCUCUGCUUCCCGAUUGCUGUGGUGUGAGCUGCACCCCUGUGCCACACUCUCCCGCCGUGAUGUUCAGCCUCACCUCAAGCCCUGAGCAAGCACCUGGCCUUCUAUGGACUAAGACCUCUGAAACCAUGAGCCCUCAGAUAAACUCUU